UACGUAGGGUGCAAGCGUUAAUCGGAAUUACUGGGCGUAAAGCGUGCGCAGGCGGUUCCAUAAGACAGAUGUGAAAUCCCCGGGCUCAACCUGGGAACUGCAUUUGUGACUGUGGAGCUAGAGUACGGUAGAGGGGGAUGGAAUUCCGCGUGUAGCAGUGAAAUGCGUAGAUAUGCGGAGGAACACCAAUGGCGAAGGCAAUCCCCUGGACCUGUACUGACGCUCAUGCACGAAAGCGUGGGGAGCAAACAGGAUUAGAAACCCGCGUAGUCC
rnacentral:rRNA from 1 species